GCAGUCGGACGGGAUCCGUCGGAGAGCUUGCUCGAAGACGGUGAGAGUGGCGCACGGGUGCGUAACGCGUGAGCAACCUACCUCUAUCAGGGGGAUAGCCUCUCGAAAGAGAGAUUAACACCGCAUAAUAUAUCUGACCGGCAUCGGUUAGCUAUUAAAUAUUUAUAGGAUAGAGAUGGGCUCGCGUGACAUUAGCUAGUUGGUAGGGUAACGGCUUACCAAGGCGACGAUGUCUAGGGGCUCUGAGAGGAGAAUCCCCCACACUGGUACUGAGACACGGACCAGACUCCUACGGGAGGCAGCAGUAAGGAAUAUUGGUCAAUGGGCGGAAGCCUGAACCAGCCAUGCCGCGUGCAGGAUGACUGCCCUAUGGGUUGUAAACUGCUUUUGUCCAGGAAUAAACCUUUCUACGUGUAGGGAGCUGAAUGUACUGGAAGAAUAAGGAUCGGCUAACUCCGUGCCAGCAGCCGCGGUAAUACGGAGGAUCCGAGCGUUAUCCGGAUUUAUUGGGUUUAAAGGGUGCGUAGGCGGCCUAUUAAGUCAGGGGUGAAAUACGGUGGCUCAACCAUCGCAGUGCCUUUGAUACUGAUGGGCUUGAAUCCAUUUGAAGUGGGCGGAAUAAGACAAGUAGCGGUGAAAUGCAUAGAUAUGUCUUAGAACUCCGAUUGCGAAGGCAGCUCACUAAGCUGGUAUUGACGCUGAUGCACG
rnacentral:rRNA from 1 species